CUACUAAACGUAAUUAUAGGGAA
rnacentral:snRNA from 1 species